UAGCUUGACUCUGCUGCUGCUGCUAAGUCGCUUCAGUCGUGUCCGACUUUGUGUGACUCCAUAGACGGCAGCCCACCAGGCUCCCCCAUCCCUGGGAUUCUCCAGGCAAGAACACUGGAGUGCGUUGCCAUUUCCUUCUCCAGUGCGUGAAAGUGAAGUCGCUCAGUCGUGUCCGACUGUUUGCGACCCCAUGGACUGCAGCCCGCCAGGCUCCUCCAUCCAUGGGAUUUUCCAGGCAAGAGUACUGGAGUCGGGUGCCAUCGCCUUCUCCGAGCUUUACUCUAGUGAUAUAGAGAUAUAUGCAGCCUUUCUUACAAUGUAUUCAUUGAGCACAGAUACUAAUUUUCAUGAGCUGUUUGUAGUUUGGGCUUAAAAGGGCCCAAGAGUAUAUUCAGCAGGAAAGCAAAAUCAGAGAACUAAGGAAAACAAGCAUAAAAGAAGUUAUGACUAGUGAGAUUUUCUAUCUGUUUUCCUCUCUUAUAAUUGAAGUCUGGGUCGUUUACUAUCUUUGGUUGGAGAUCACUGUCCACUGUUAAGAUUUUAUAGCAGUUGCCUUUGAAAAUCUAAUAAGGAGCAGGGUAUAUUAACAUCAGAUAUUUGCACAAAAUUAUAUAUCAUAUUAAAUAAAAUACUGUAGUUAGGUGUACUUCACCGUCAUGUUGAUUAGGAUCAUCUUUGUGGGUGACGGUAAUUGUGACAGCAUUAUUUCCUUUCAGAAAAGGAGUCUUCAAGAAAGCAGUAUUUUUCUAAGAUCACCCAAAGUUGUCUGCCAGUAUGGAAGCUCCAAGUCGUACUCAGGGACCCUGUUUCCAGGCUCCUGUGAUGCUUGGCUUUUUCUUCCUAAAAGACCCUUCAGGGCUCGGACACCCUGCUUUUUGUGCCGCUGCAGCAUGGUCACCAGUUGGAAGCUUGCGAUUAUUUUUGAGAAGAAAUUAAAUAAUUGCUGAUUUUAAAAAAGGAGAAUCGGAAACAAAUACCAUUUCUGCCUUCAUAAUGGGAACCCCAAAUGCCUUUCUAAACAAACAACAGCUGGAAAAUGCUGAACACAGAUAGAUCGAAUCCUUGCCUUUAAAAAGUUCCCAGCCUUGUAGAGAUGGAUAGACAAGAAGACAGUAUGGUAUAGGGAUUGAUAGUGGAUCGUUGAUGAGCACAAAUUAUGAUGUGGGCAUAGAGAUUGGGCACCUAAGCUGGUCUAGAAAUGUCUGGGAGCCUUGCUAAUGGGAACCAGUGGGAAGGAAGGCAAGGUGGAUCAGCCCAGAAACCUUCCGGGGUACACACCCAGGCC
ensembl:lncRNA